GAAAUCCUAUAAAUUCAAAGUGAAGAUUGUGCAAUAAAAAUUGUACAGACAAUUUCCUUCAAACCCUAGAAUGGGGAAGAUUUCAAUCUCGAAGUCGAGAGCUGUAACGCCAUCGACAAUGUCUAAGCCAAAAUUCAAUCCAUUACAAAGACGGUUUCGUUUCAUAUUCGUUUUUGGGGUUGUAAAUUGGAAAUGAAUUGUUAGCCAUAAACAGGAAUUCCAUCAGAAUCCGAAGGCUCUGAUUUUCGCUGGAAAGCAGCUUCAAGAUGGCUGAUCGCUUUUGAAUAUUGACAUUCAAAGAGAUGUCAUGCUGGGGGCUAUGGAUUUGUGGAAGAUAAGGCGCGAUCUUAUUAGUUUGAGGAAGAUAUGUAGAUUGAAGUAUUGUUACAUAUAAAAUGAUGCUAGUUUAUCAACGAAUACAUCAACAAAAGCAUGUGUGAUCAGUCUCUAAUAUUAGCAAUCACGAGGUUCCAUCUCAGAAACAAGAUAAUAGAAGCUAUCUCAUUAAUAAUAUGCACAUAGUAAGAUAAUAGAAGCUAUCUCAUUAAUAAUAUGCACAAAAUAAUAGGAGCAGUAAGGUGUUCUAUUUGAAAAGCGGCUUGAGUACUAAGGAGUAGUAUAUUUUGUAUGUUCGUUCCACAUAAAAUUGCACGGGAAUGAAACUGUUUAGUGACAGAAGUAGCCAUGGUGAAAGAAGAAGAAUGAUGGAAACAGAAGGAUAUAGAAUUUGGUAACACAAGCUGCACCUAUAAAAAGAAAAUACUUUAUUAAGACAUGGUGAAAGAAGAAGAAUGUGGUGUGUGAGACUAAAAUUGAGUCUUCUCCAUAACUUUACGAACCAAGUUCGUUUUUUUGGUCAA